GUCUUUUUGAUUAUAAUUUAAAGUUUGACCUGCCCUAUGAAUUUAUUUUUAAAUGGCUGCGGUACUUUGACCGUGCAAAGGUAGCAUAAUAAUUAGUUUUUUAAUUGGGAACUGGUAUGAAUGGUCGAACGAGAAAAAGACUGUCUCAAUUUAAUUUAAAUUAGAAUUUUAUCUUUAAGUAAGAAAGCUUAAAUAAUUUUAAAAGACGAGAAGACCCUAUAGAGUUUUAUAUAAUUAUAUAUUUUUAAAAAUUAAAGAAUUUCAAAUUUAAUUAUAUAUAAUUAUAUUUGGUUGGGGCAAUUAAAAAAUUAAAUAAAUUUUUUUAAAUUUUAACAUUGAUAUAUGAUUAAGUGAUCCAUAUUUUAUGAUUAAAAGAUUAAAUUACCUUAGGGAUAACAGCGUAAUUUUUUUUGAGAGUUCUUAUCGAAAAAAAAGUUUGCGACCUCGAUGUUGGAUUAAAAUUAACUUUUGGCGAUUUUACA
rnacentral:rRNA from 1 species